CAUGGACUGUAUAUUACAUGGGGUCACAAAGAGUCGGACAUGUCUGAGCAACUUUCCCUUUCACUUUGAAAGUCUCUGGUGGUUCAGACAGUAAAGAAUCUGCCUGCACUGCAGGAGACUGAGUUCAGUCCCUGGGUUGAGAAGGUCCCCUGGCGAAGGGAAUGGCAACCCACUUCAGUAUUCUUGCGUGCAGAAUUCCACAGACAGAAUAGCCUGGUGGGCUAUAGUCCUUAGGGUCACAAAGAGUCGGACAGGACUUAGCAUUCAUGCAUAUGUAAUAUCUAACAACUGAAAUAUCAACACAAAAAAAUCAGUCAAUUGUAUACUUAGUUUGAUUCUUUUCCAUUUUAUUCUUUCCACUUUCUAACUUAAACUUAUUGUACACACCUAUUAUUAUUUUGAUCUCACAUAUAUGCUAAUAUGAAUUAUUUAGGAAGGUAGAAAUCCAAAAAUCAUGUACAAGAAGGUCUUCAGAAUCACAGGUUAUGGGUUUCUUGCUAAAGGAAAACCCCACAGACCAUGAGAUAAGAAUGACCUGAAGUUACUGUGACAACUGAUGGCUUAGCCUUUGGACUGUUUCCAUUUUAACCAAGAAAGAAAGUGUUUUUCUUUCUCUCCUCCCCACUUCCCCAGGGGGAUUUUCUAAGGAUUGGUGCAUUUAUUUUCAUAAAAGGAAAAACUGGCUCUAAGCUUGCAGUAAAGACGCCUAAACAAAUGGUUAGCUCACCAUACUCUCUUUUACAAAGUGUUUUUGAACCUAAGCAGCAAUUGUCUAUCAGGAAUUCUCCUUUCUAGGAAGUUUAGAAACAGCACAGAAUUCAUGAAAAUCCUGUUGGUUUUCUUUGAGAGUCACUCAGACUUCAAGUAUCAACAUGCGGCAGAUAUUGCUGGAGAGCCUACGAUGCGUUUGGCACCUGGACACGGAGCUACAGCUUUCAGACAAGACUGGGGACGUUCAGGAUGGUAUGGCCAUAGACAAGCUGCCACUUUCGGAAAGAAUCAAAUUGCUCCACUUCCUUCAUCAUAUUUUUCUCAAGUAUAGCACUGCAUAUGGAGAAGGCUGGGCGGAAUGCAGAAAGCCAGGCAGAUUUUCCUCGUGUUGAAAGGGAACCUCUGGUCAAAAGUCAGCAGCCGCGCUGCAGAAAGCUUUGAUAGUCAGUGAAGUGGAUCACGGCAUGCGCGGAUGGAGCCUCUCGCUGCGCGGGCGGACCUCCCUCCAAGAGCGACCCCUGGUCAUCAGUCAUCGGGGCCCCCAUCGCCUUCUGCGCAGCCGAUGGUUUCACCGGCUCCACGGGGCCUGGGUCCCAAGCUGCCCUUUUCCACAGGUAUUGCUAAAGCAAAUAGCAGACGGUAUUUACUGGGUGUGAUGCUUUCAAUCACAUUAAUCUAGCCAGUAAAAAAAUUUAUGACCAAUAAAAAUUCCACCAUGACAUGGCUGAUUGGAGGA
rnacentral:lncRNA from 1 species